rnacentral:rRNA from 1 species
GUGGGGAAUCUUAGACAAUGGGCGCAAGCCUGAUCUAGCCAUGCCGCGUGAGCGAUGAAGGCCUUAGGGUUGUAAAGCUCUUUCAGGGGGGAAGAUAAUGACGGUACCCCCAGAAGAAGCCCCGGCUAACUCCGUGCCAGCAGCCGCGGUAAUACGGAGGGGGCUAGCGUUGUUCGGAAUUACUGGGCGUAAAGCGCGCGUAGGCGGACUGAAAAGUUGGGGGUGAAAUCCCGGGGCUCAACCUCGGAACUGCCUUCAAAACUAUCAGUCUGGAGUUCGAGAGAGGUGAGUGGAAUUCCGAGUGUAGAGGUGAAAUUCGUAGAUAUUCGGAGGAACACCAGUGGCGAAGGCGGCUCACUGGCUCGAUACUUACGCUGAGGUGCGAAAGCGUGGGGAGCAAACAGGAUUAGAAACCCUGGUAGUCC